GACGAACGCUGGCGGCGUGCCCAAUACAUGCAAGUCGAGCGCAGGAAAUCGACGGAACCCUUCGGGGGGAAGUCGACGGAAUGAGCGGCGGACGGGUGAGUAACACGUAAAGAACCUGCCCUCAGGUCUGGGAUAACCACGAGAAAUCGGGGCUAAUACCGGAUGGGUCAUCGGACCGCAUGGUCCGAGGAUGAAAGGCGCUUCGGCGUCGCCUGGGGAUGGCUUUGCGGUGCAUUAGCUAGUUGGUGGGGUAAUGGCCCACCAAGGCGACGAUGCAUAGCCGACCUGAGAGGGUAAUCGGCCACACUGGGACGGAGACACGGCCCAGACUCCUACGGGAGGCAGCAGUAGGGAAUCUUCCACAAUGGACGAAAGUCUGAUGGAGCAACGCCGCGUGAACGAUGAAGGCCUUCGGGUCGUAAAGUUCUGUUGUAAGGGAAGAACAAGUGCCGCAGGCAAUGGCGGCACCUUGACGGUACCUUGCGAGAAAGCCACGGCUAACUACGUGCCAGCAGCCGCAGUAACAC
rnacentral:rRNA from 1 species